rnacentral:lncRNA from 1 species
CCAAAGGAGUGUACAAGAGAGAGGACAGCUGUGGUGCCUGCCCAGGGGGAACAAUUUUAAUGAAAUAUGCAACUUCUCAUAGACCAGUGCUCUUCAAACUCACAGUGCUUAUUUCACCUGGGUAUCUUACUAAAAUGCAAGUUUGGAUUCAGUAGGUCUGGGGUAAGAAUCCAUGCAUCUAACAAACUCCCGGGUGCUGCUGCCACUGCUGCUCCAUAUUCCCCACUCUGAGCAGCAAGCAUGCACCAUUCAUUCUGCCACUCCAGUCUCAAGGAAGCUACUCUGAGGGAAGUUUGCAUCCCUGGGCCAGGAUUAUUCAUUUGAUAAAUACUCACUGCAUAUCUCAGCCUAGAGAGGUGUUGGGGGAAGUACCGGGAUAGGGAGCCACAAAGCCUCUGUGGUUCCCAACAGGACUUCACUACAGGCUCCUUGCUCUGAGAGAGAGUGUGCAGGAGCAGACAUGCUGUGCAAGGGAAGGGCCUGAGCUCUGCAGGGGUGAGGGAGAAGUUCACUGGACAGACUGAUAUGGAGAAGCGGGCAUUUCAGGGAGAGGGAACUGCAUACUUACAGAAUGUACUCCUGGACAAGUCCUCUGUUCCUUUCCUAAUCUUGCUCUUGACAAACUAAUUUUUCUUAAAUACCAUCAUGAGUCUGUCACUCCUUUGAUCAAAAGCCCACAAACUCCCCAGUGCCAGUAACCUUACCCUGGAUCACAAUAUAAUUGAAUUGCAAGUGUCAUUGUUAUUGUGCCAACUAGAUUAUAAACUCCAUCAAACAUGCAUGGCUUAGAGAGCUGAUGUAUCUAUCCCUCAUCCAGCAGAAAUAAACACUCCAGGCCCUCCAUAAAGGUUCCAUCGAAACACUUUAAAAUCCCCCUUAUCCUGCUGGCAAGUACUCUGAAGAUACACUAUAUUUUCAAGUCAUCUCUUUAGGUCAAGUUAGAGUUCCAGGAGGCAACUCAAUUUUCCUAAAGACUUCACAGAACACUAUAAGCCUAAUUAAUGACAAAAAAGAAAUCUUAACAAUAAAAAAAUUUUUCUAGUUAGAAACUAGUUAGUAUUCAAUGUUUUCAAUACAUUAUCUUCUAUUUUUCACAUGAAAAUGUAUCCUAAGAAUGUGCAAUACAAAGUCUCAUAAUUUACUUGUAUGUGGUAUAAAUAGUGUGUGCUCAUGGACUGUGCUUCUGCCAUCCCCAGUUCCCAGCAAUCCCUAAUACAAAUAGACCCCUGAGCAAGGACACCUUCUCGUCUUAGGAUGUCCAUGAGAGGGCAGUGCUCUGAAUAGAAAACUUUGCCAAGAAACAUGUUUGCUUCAUUGUUUUCAAAGCUAAUUAGUUGAUUAAUGCCAAGUAAACUUUCUAUGUUUCCUAGGUUUUCGUCUAACCACAAAAAACAAAAUUAAGGAAUCUAGCUGACCUGACUUCACUAAUUAUGACAGUUUGAGUCCAGCUGAAAUGAUUCCAUUGCUUGGAAUCAUCUAGCCAAGAAAGCCCUCUGAGUCUGUAUUUGCCGUGUCGCUCAUGGCACAGCCAAGUCUCCCCUAAGGCAGUGUCCUACAACAACCCUUUCUCCUACACCCACCUGCUUUAAGGAAUUCCUCUUUCUGGAGCGCAGACUUAAACAGCGAGCCUAUUGAUUACAGAAUGAACCCAUUCACCCCAGGACAGUCUCAAGGAACAUAGAAAUCAGAUUGGCUUCCCACUGACACACCAACUGUUAAAUCCUUGCUUGCUUCCUUAGUGACCGUCCAGUUGGGAAUCUUACUGUCUCUCUAGGCUAAAUGCACAUGUCUGAUAUGGGUCAAUACACAUAAUCAUCCUUUACAAACUUCGGUUUACUGCAGACCAUGAGUGUUCACUUUCUGCAAAUCUUAAUGCCCAAAUCACUGGUGUGGACCUAAGCUAACUGCCCCUAUUCCUGGGCCCCUUGAAGACUGCAGCUUAUUGUGAGUGCCACACACUUCCUUGGAAGACCUCACACCAGGAGGCACUGCUGUUCCUAACAGUGAAUUCCUCCUGCCCACAUCAUCUAGUCUGUACUCACCCGACCACUGCUCCUCAAUGGCUCUAAUCUGGUCAUCUGUAAAGUUCCACGAACGGGCCAGCCUCUGCCACUCAUUGGCCUUCAGCUGAUGGUAAGCCAGGUCCCAGAGAAGCGUGCGAAUGUGUCUGGUCUCCAGACUGUGAUCUUGCUUGAAUGUCAGAGUAAAGCCUGUUGACGGGUCCCUGAUGCUCUCAUGAUGCUCCUAAAGUGAAAAUAAUUGUAUCAGAAGAUUUCAGACAUGUUCUACUUAUUACCUUAUUUCAGAGUAUAUAUGUUUUUCAAACAUAACUAGUAAGGUGGUAACCGAGACUAUGUUUUCAAUGCCUCCUGUCACUGGAUCAUAUAUAUAUUUUUUUUUUUUGCCAUCCAAAAUGGAAAUAAAUGCUUGAAAUUAAAAGCUUGGGUACCGUCUGUCUGACACAGGAAAUGUGAGGGAUUUUGCCUAUUGUGUCCCAUGCUGCUUAGAACAGAGAAUGAGAACAGAGAGGCUGUCUUGGCAAAGGAUGUGUCACAACAACAAAACCAUCUUUAAUGGCCUUUGUUUGAACCCAUACCCCCAUUUCUUCUUUUGGGUAUUUGAUGUUCUCAUAUUGAAGCUUCGGUGAGCCCAGAUUGGCUGUAUCCUUAAUAAGACCCCACAGCUGGUCCCUCAUUCAUCCUGCUCUCUGGUGAGCAUAAGGAGAGUAAACUAGGAGCCUAGCUCAGGCUGGGGCUUGGGGAAGAGGUGACUAAGGGAGUGGAGAGGACAGGAGUGGACAUCAUUUAAAGUCACUAUAGCCAGGCUCAGACCAACAGCACUAUGCCUAGAUUGGCAUCUUGUUUUCUGACUGUUGAAAGGUUCCUUUUGUCCCUUCUGCAGAAUCCACCAGAGUCCUGCAGAAUCAAACCACAAACACCGGAGAAAAUCACUGAGUGAAAGCAGGCAUCACUGCUUCCUAGAACUGCAUGCUGUGCUUAUGCCACUAGGCCUCCAGGCAAGAAAAGUUGCAAGGAGGAUGGUGUGACCUUUAAAAGAAUCCAUAUAUAUCAAGACUACCAAGCUAAUUAAACAGGAUUGUGAGAGAGAAGGAGAUGAGUAAAUGCUUUUUGCUUUAAGGAUUUAAGGGAAAUUUCCCAAGACUGGCCAGGUGGACAGCAAUCCAGAUGAAUAAGGUUUUCGUGACUCUCACAGAAUACUUGAGUGCCUGAAAGCCUGCACAGCGGUGUGUUGAAAACUGCCGAGCCACACAAAGGAGUUUUUUAACCACUCAUUCGUGCUACUGGGAAUAGCUCAUGGCCAGACUGUGGACAGAGGGAACAACCAGGCGUCACCCAUCAGGGGCUCACACGCUAGGCCCAUUAUAGCUGGCCUGGUCAAUGCCGCUUGGCCCUAGUGAACUCUACGCGCUCUCAGUUCUGACGUCUGAUGUCCACAAAGGAAGAGGCAGCUGUUCAUUCCACGAAUGGGGGCAGCACAAGACAGAAGGGACAGUUAUAAUUGUACUGACCAGAGCUCUGCUCAUUAGAGCAAAGAAUGGCACAGACCCCCCCAUUGCCCCUGCAAGAAGAUGGGUGUUGCCAGGAAAGCCCCUGCUGUGCUGGGAUCGUCCUUCCUUACCUCUCUCCAGGCGUAGUAUCUCUCUGCUUUAAUGAGCAUGCCCACGACAAGGCUAUGGUUGCUCCUGGAGGCCACAGCCAGGGCAGUCUUUCCUUGCUAAAAUUAAAAAAGAAAAAAAAUUCAGGUGAUAUGGCCUAGUGAUUAGGAGCUCUAGUUUUGGAACAAGGGGGCCUCGGUUCAAAUCUUGAUUCUACCAGCCCAUGCUGGGUAAACUUAGGCCAGUCCUUUGCUUCUUUGGGUCUUUAUAACUACCCCAUAGUGGAGUGGUCAGGGGUAAAUGUGAUAAUGCAUAUAAAGCCUUUAGAACCUGUGCCACCCUGAAUAUUUCCUAGCCUCUUUUGCAGUUAGUUAUGUGACCUAAGUUCUGGCCAAUGGUCUGUAAAUAGAAGUGGGACAUGCAACUUCUGGGAAGUAUCUUUAAACAGAAGAGAGAUGAAUGGCAUUUUCCUUCUUUUCUUCUCCCUCCUGAGUGGAAUGCUGACAUGAUGGCAGGAGCCUGAACAGCCACUUUAGACCAGGAAGUAGAAGCCAUGUUUUGAGGAGCACUGAGUAAUAAGACAGAAAAGGGCUGGAUCUUAUUAAGAAUAAUAUCAAUAAUGGCAACCCUGGUAAUUCAUAGGUCACUGGACCCCUAACUAGAAAUUUUUUCUAUUAUACCAUACUGCCUCUCACCAAGGGUGAGAGGUUUUAAUCUUAAACAAAUGGAAUGAUCAACAAGGGCUGUUCUGGACAUAAUUUUGGGAAUGAACUGCCUGGAGCCCACAUGGUAACUUAGACGAAUUACAAAAAGGUACACUUUUCUCAAGAUGGACAGAGCUCAAAGCCAGGGCAUAGAGCUUUGCAAGCAGAAUCCUCUGGAUUUCAUAGAGUGCACCACUUCAACAUCUAAAUAUUUUUCCCUGAGCAAAGGAUGGUGGUUCUCAUUUGCUUUUCAAAUGACCCAUGAAGAAUUUGCUCAGAAAACAAUUAAAAUUAAUGGUCAGAAAUGACCCAAGAAGAAGAGUUCCAAUCUUAGGAACCCUUAUGGAUCCAGAAAUAUAUCCCAAGUAUUAUCUUACAUGGUUAGAUAUUUGCAACAAGUGCGAUUCCCACCAAUAUAAAUGAUUUGGUUCUUAGUCUAGGCACUAAGACCCAGGGGAGCAGGAAAAUUAGGGCUGAAAGUAAUCAGCCUGUAAUCAAAAGAGACAGUAAUGAAAUUAGGAAGAACUGCAUUUUGCAGGCAUUUAGCAAGCCUCUAAUUGUAUGCUGUCUACAUUCUGUCUUGCAGAGCCAUUUGAAUCACUAUAAUUAGCCUGCUUUGAGAAGGCAGCAUUCUGAGAGCCAGAGUUUCCAAGUUCAAAGGAAAAUCUUCCUAAGGAAUAUAUGCUGGAGUGAAAAUCCAAACACUUCUACCCUUAGGGGUUGGGAGGUAGCGUGGAUAGAAGGUUCUCUGAGAGCUUUUUGACACCUCAGGCCAAGAGGACAAGCAGAGAACAAGCUGCUGGGAAAGUCAAAUUUAUACCAAACUUUGAUUCCUUAUUUCCUAACCAGACCCUAACAUGGUCCUAGAAACACUUUUCUUUGGCAAAAAAAAAAAAAAAAAAAAAAAAAUUGUGGGAGCCAAUAGAAAAGAUAUUUUUUAUUCAUUUAUUAACUAUGUAUUGGGUGCCAACUAUGUGCCAGACCUUGAAAAGAAAGGAGAAGAAGGGAAAUCUGGGAAAGUCAAAUCAUGAGGCCCAGUAAACUGUGAGCUCUUGUUUUGAAAACAAAGUCAAAUGGUAGCAUUGACUGUAUUUACUGGAAUAUCUAGUCCACUAAGCAGCAGGGACCCCAACAUAAAUCCCUGCCCAAUGCUAUAGAUUUCGUACCCACAGAAUGGCUUUGGGGGUAUUAAGUAUUCAUGAAAAAGUAGAAUAAAAUACAAAACAACAGCAUUAAAAAAUACUAAGGCUAAAUGUUAAACCAAAUUAACCAGGCACAACUGGUGAAAGUGGUGGAAUUCCACACAAGUGAUAACAUUCUGUGUUGUGUUUUCCUCCUUAAGCUUUUCUGUGUUCUAAAUCGUCCACAGUGGGCCUGUGUUACUUUUUUUUUUUUUUUUUUUU